GUGAGGAAUAUUGGUCAAUGGGCGAGAGCCUGAACCAGCCAAGUCGCGUGAAGGAAGAAGGAUCUAUGGUUCGUAAACUUCUUUUGCAGGGGAAUAAAGUGCAGGACGUGUCCUGUUUUGUAUGUACCCUGAGAAUAAGGAUCGGCUAACUCCGUGCCAGCAGCCGCGGUAAUACGGAGGAUCCGAGCGUUAUCCGGAUUUAUUGGGUUUAAAGGGUGCGUAGGUGGAUUGAUAAGUCAGCGGUGAAAGUUUGCAGCUUAACUGUAAAAUUGCCGUUGAAACUGUCGAUCUUGAGUGCAAAGGAGGUAGGCGGAAUGUGUUGUGUAGCGGUGAAAUGCAUAGAUAUCACGCAGAACUCCGAUUGCGAAGGCAGCUUACUAAGCUACAACUGACACUGAAGCACGAAAGCGUGGGGAUCAAACAGGAUUAGAUACCCCUGUAGUCC
rnacentral:rRNA from 1 species